GACAGAGGUGGCAAGCGUUGCUCGGAAUCACUGGGCUUAAAGGGUGUGUAGGCGGUUCGUUAAGUAUCCUGUGAAAGCCCCCGGCUCAACCGGGGAACUGCAGGAUAUACUGGCGAACUUGAGGUACGUAGGGGUUACUGGAACUCUGGGUGGAGCGGUGAAAUGCGUAGAUAUCCAGGGGAACGCCAAUGGCGAAGGCAGGUAACUGGGCGUAUCCUGACGCUGAGGCACGAAAGCGUGGGGAG
rnacentral:rRNA from 1 species